rnacentral:rRNA from 2 species
UACGUAGGGGGCAAGCGUUGUCCGGAAUCACUGGGCGUAAAGCGCGCGCAGGCGGUCUUUCACGUCCGGGGUGAAAGCCCAGAGCUCAACUCUGGGAUUGCCUUGGAUACGGGGAGACUUGAGGAUCGGAGAGGCAAGGGGAAUUCCACGUGUAGCGGUGAAAUGCGUAGAGAUGUGGAGGAACACCUGUGGCGAAGGCGCCUUGCUGGCCGAUUUCUGACGCUGAGGCGCGAAAGCGUGGGGAGCAAACAGG